UACGUAGGGUGCGAGCGUUGUCCGGAAUUAUUGGGCGUAAAGCGCACGUAGGCGGCUUUGCAAGUCCCAUGUGAAAUCCCACGGCUUAACCGUGGAAGUGCAUGGGAAACUGCAGAGCUUGAGUACUUAAGAGGAUCGCGGAAUUCCCGGUGUAGAGGUGAAAUUCGUAGAUAUCGGGAGGAACACCAGUGGCGAAGGCGGCGAUCUGGGAAGAUACUGACGCUGAGGUGCGAAAGCGUGGGGAGCAAACAGG
rnacentral:rRNA from 1 species